rnacentral:rRNA from 1 species
UACGAAGGGUGCAAGCGUUAAUCGGAAUUACUGGGCGUAAAGGGUGCGUAGGCGGUUCGUUAAGUCUGUUGUGAAAUCCCCGGGCUCAACCUGGGAAUGGCAAUGGAUACUGGCGGGCUAGAGUGUGUCAGAGGAUGGUGGAAUUCCCGGUGUAGCGGUGAAAUGCGUAGGGAUCGGGAGGAACAUCAGUGGCGAAGGCGGCCAUCUGGGACAACACUGACGCUGAAGCACGAAAGCGUGGGGAGCAAACAGG